GUCAUGUUAAUUUUGCUUUAUUACAGAUCUAAACUGAAAUGUUACAAAGACUCUUUUCAGUUUUUGUUGCAUUUUUCACUGCAUAUUUCACGCUGUUAGCUGCAGACUCUGACACGUGUGUAUUUGUCUCGACACACCAGUAUAUACAUAGCAUGGACUAUAAAAAGCUGCUUGCAAAAACCAGGAUGCAGUGUACUGAACAGAAAUCAG